AACGAACGCUGGCGGCAGGCCUAACACAUGCAAGUCGAGCGCCCCGCAAGGGGAGCGGCGGACGGGUGAGUAACGCGUGGGAAUAUGCCCUUUGCUACGGAAUAGUCUCGGGAAACUGGGGGUAAUACCGUAUACGCCCUUUGGGGGAAAGAUUUAUCGGCGAAGGAUUAGCCCGCGUUGGAUUAGGUAGUUGGUGGGGUAAUGGCCUACCAAGCCGACGAUCCAUAGCUGGUUUGAGAGGAUGAUCAGCCACACUGGGACUGAGACACGGCCCAGACUCCUACGGGAGGCAGCAGUGGGGAAUCUUAGACAAUGGGGGCAACCCUGAUCUAGCCAUGCCGCGUGAGUGAUGAAGGCCUUAGGGUUGUAAAGCCCUUUCAGCUGGGAAGAUAAUGACGGUACCAGCAGAAGAAGCCCCGGCUAACUCCGUG
rnacentral:rRNA from 1 species